CCAAAUGGGCUAAGAACUCGGAAACAUUGCGUUGAACCACGAAAUAACCUUUCUAGUGUUGUUUGGGGUUAUAAUAUGUUAUAAUACAAUACAUUUGAUAGAUUACAAGUGCUAGAGAUGCAUGAAGAGUGUUUUGAAGUGUGGAGAAAGACUUGUUGAAAUUGGGGCCAAAAUGGGCUAAGAACUCGGAAACAUUGCGUUGAACCACGAAAUGACUUAUCUAGUGUUGUUUCGGGUUAUAAUAUGUUAGGAUACAGUAAAUUAAAUUGAUUACAAGUGCUAGAGAUGCAUGAAGGGUGUUUAGAU
rnacentral:lncRNA from 1 species